rnacentral:rRNA from 1 species
UACGUAGGGUCCAAGCGUUAUCCGGAAUCACUGGGCGUAAAGCGUUCGUAGGCGGGUAUUUAAGUGAGAUGUGAAAGCGUGUGGCUCAACCAUAUCGUUGUGUCUCAUACUGGGUACCUGGAGGAAGGCAGAGGCAAGUGGAAUUGGCAGUGUAGCAGUGAAAUGCGUAGAGAUGUGGAGGAACACCGAUGGCGAAGGCAGCCCCCUGGGCUAACACUGACGCUCAGGCACGAAAGCGUGGGGAGCAAACAGG